rnacentral:sRNA from 1 species
UUUUAGCCCUGAUUGCAGUGAAAAUCCUUUUAAGCUAUUGGUGAAUUUUCUUGAAAAUACAAAGCGACCAGCGGAAGCUCUUGUAAGUUCUUAGAAAAAAAACCGAUGGCGGAAAAGAUUGAAGCGGAAAACAGGAUUAAGC